rnacentral:lncRNA from 1 species
GUCAUCCCUUGGUGCUGACACACCCAAACCAAAGCCAGUCUCCCUAGCAACUGAACCACAGUCAGUGGUGGUCUGACCACACCCUCUCAUGGUUGGCAACCAUGCACAGUUCCUCAUUUUAUUUCUGCUGCAGGACAGGUUGGCUACUGGCUGAUCUUUGGAACUAGAAACAUCAUUUUGCUCCUUAAAUGAUUAAAAAAGGCACACAUGGGGCUUCUUUGUGUUAGUUCUUUUGUAUCUCCAUAUCCUGUCCCUGCAUGGAUUAUUUUGGUGCAUGCUGCAGACUUGUUUUUGGAACUUGAAUCCUGAGCAAGUGAGAAGACUUACUGGAUGCUGUUCAAGGCUCUGCAUGACAAACCUUGCACAAAUACAAGGUCAGAGAAAUGGCAGCUGGAUCCAGGAAGAUGAGAAAUUUGAGCAGGCUUAGAAGUUGGCAGCCUACAACACAUUGAUUUGUGUCUUUUUUUUUUUUUUCAAGCCUACCUUUUCUUUGUCUUUUUCUGAUUUAUAAAGCUACAAAACCAAAUAUAAAUCUUGUAUUUGUAAGCCACUUUCCACAUUAUUCAUCUAAUAACCCUCUGUGUGGCAUACACAUUAUUUUUUCCAUAAACUGAAGCACCAUAGAGGGUGAGAAUGACUUGUCCAUUAUUUGGAUAUACAAUUUAUCUAUUCAUUCUUUUAUUGAUAGACAUUUCAGCUAUUUACACUUAGGGACUUUUAUAAAUAAAGUUACUAUGAACAUUAUUGUACAGGUCUUUUUGUGCAUUUGUGUUUUCAUUUUUUGCCAGGUCAUAUAAUAGGUGAAUGCUUAUUAGAAAUUGAUCACCAGUUUUCCAUAAUGGUUUUUUACCAGUUUACAUGCCCACAAGUGGCGUCCAAGGGUUACAGUUCACUACAUCCUCAUCAAUGCUUGGUAUUGCAUCUUUGGUUUUAGCUAUUCUUGUGGGUAUGCAGAUGUAAUUCAUUGUGGUUUUAAUUUGUAUUUCCCUGAUGGCUAACAACUUUGAGCAUUUUAUUACAUGUGACCUGGCCAUUUGAAUAUCUUCCUCAGCACCAAAAGGAAUGAACUAUUGCUAUUCGCAAUAACAUGGAUUAAUUUCAAGCACACUGUGUUGAGU